rnacentral:rRNA from 1 species
GACGAACGCUGGCGGCGUGCCUAAUACAUGCAAGUCGAACGCAGUGGGGACGGGUGAGUAACACGUGGGUAACCUACCAUCAGAGGGGAAAAAACUUGGAAAAAGGUGCUAAACCGAUACAGUGGGAUGGACCCGGGGUUCAUUAGCUAGUUGGAGAGGAAACGGCAUACCAAGGCCACGAUGCAUAGCCGACCUGAGAGGGUGAUCGGCCACACUGGGACUGAGACACGGCCCAGACUCCUACGGGAGGCAGCAGUAGGGAAUCUUCGGCAAUGGGCGAAAGCCUGACCGAGCAACGCCGCGUGAGUGAAGAAGGUUUUCGGAUCGUAAAACUCUGUUGUUAGAGAAGCGGUAUCUAACCAGAAAGCCACGGCUAACUACGUGCCAGCAGCCGCGGUAAUAC